ensembl:lncRNA
AACUGAGAAAAGUCAAGCGUGCAGCUGCCAAGAUGCCACUUGCCACCAGUUUGGCCAUAUUUCAGAGCUGCAACGUCACUGGAGUGCCCAAAAGCACAAGGUGUGCAAUACUCAGAGACAUGGCCAAGGUAAGAAAGGCUGAAAGACGACCACCACUGAACAAGACACACAAGCUGAAACAUCAAGACUGGGCCAAGAAAUAUCUCAAGACUGAUUUUUCUAAGGUUUUAUGGACUGAUGAAAUGAGAGUGAGUCUUGAUGGGCCAGAUGGAUGGGCCCGUGGCUGGAUUGGUAAAGGGCAGAGAGCUCCAGUCCCACUCAGACGCCAGCAAGGUGGAGGUGGAGUACUGGUUUGGGCUGGUAUCAUCAAAGAUGAGCUUGUGGGGCCUUUUCGGGUUGAGGAUGGAGUCAAGCUCAACUCCC